AUUGAACGCUGGCGGCAGGCCUAACACAUGCAAGUCGAACGGUAACAGGGAGCAGCUUGCUGCUUCGCUGACGAGCGGCGGACGGGUGAGUAAUGCGUAGGAAUCUACCUUUAGGCGGGGGACAACUCGGGGAAACUCGAGCUAAUACCGCAUAAUAUCUAAGGAUCAAAGUUAGGUACGCAAGUAUCCGACACCUAGAGAGGAGCCUACGUUGGAUUAGCUAGUUGGUAGGGUAAAGGCCUACCAAGGCGACGAUCCAUAGCUGUUCUGAGAGGAAGACCAGCCACACUGGGACUGAGACACGGCCCAGACUCCUACGGGAGGCAGCAGUGGGGAAUAUUGGACAAUGGGGGCAACCCUGAUCCAGCGAUGCCGCGUGUGUGAAGAAGGCCUGAGGGUUGUAAAGCACUUUAGUCGGGGAGGAAAGGUAGCAGGUUAAGAGCUAGUUACUAUGACGUUACCCGAAGAAUAAGCACCGGCUAACUCUGUGCCAGCAGCCGCAGUAA
rnacentral:rRNA from 1 species